AUAUCGGGUGUGUGACGUCAUCUGUGACGUCAGUUUCAUGUAUCUUGUCACGUUUAAAAGUACUUUAAGGACGAUAUUUUCAGUUUUACACAUGCUGAAGAACAAAUUUAUAUCAUUUAUGUAAGAAUUUUAAGUAUAAAUGCGUCUAUAAUUAAAAGAUUAUUAGAUUUGCAUUGAAAAAUAUGCACUCGUUCUUUCGCUCCUAAAGUCAUGCAAUAUUUCCGCUUUAGAACUCGUGCAUAUUUCUUGAUACAAAUCUAAUAACCUAUAAUUAUGUACUUAUACUGAUAUAUGGACCUCCCUAUACUUUGUCUACUCAAUCUAUAUGACCAAGGCAUCAACAUAAUUUGACAACUUAAGGCUGGUGGCUGCUUAAUAGAGCUGGCCACAAGGGUAGGUUCAGCUGUAUUGUUGAAACUAUUGUGAGAACCAGAAAGUGGCCUGUUUUACAGUUGGUCAAGCUAUACUGCAAAUGUUUAAAUCUGAAAUGAAGUUAUAGGUCUAUAGAAUCAGGUGGUCAUGGUUCACAGGAAGUGUUUAGUGCAGGUUUGACUGUAUAACAACUUGUUUAUCAUUGACAGUUUGUACAUUGUAUAAGUUGAUUGUUUUCAGUGGUGCAGAGGGUGAAGAGUUUCAAGACUGAGCUGAAAAUCAACCAACGAGAUGUCAGAGUUUGAUCUGGAAUCUGAGUGACUCAUAAGCAUUCACCAAUAAAACACAUUUCUUUUGUGGAGAUUUAGAAAAACAAGGAGCUAACUGCUCACAAGAAGAAAGACUUGCUAAUCCGCGUGUCAAACACAGAAUGAAAUUCAGAAAGGCUAAAAUUAGGAGGAAAGGCCAGUAUCGUGAACCAAAGACAGAGAUGCAGAAGUAUGGUGGAGAGAUUUCUGGUAUCAGGGCUGGUAUCAAGAGAGGUGUAAAACUGAAAUAGUAGUUGUACUGUUUAAUGUAUUUUCCUGAUUAACUAAUAAAAGU
rnacentral:lncRNA from 1 species